GAUGAACGCUGGCGGCGUGCCUAAUACAUGCAAGUCGAGCGAACGGACGAGAAGCUUGCUUCUCUGAUGUUAGCGGCGGACGGGUGAGUAACACGUGGAUAACCUACCUAUAAGACUGGGAUAACUUCGGGAAACCGGGGCUAAUACCGGAUAAUAUUUUGAACCGCAUGGUUCAAAAGUGAAAGACGGUCUUGCUGUCACUUAUAGAUGGAUCCGCGCUGCAUUAGCUAGUUGGUAAGGUAACGGCUUACCAAGGCAACGAUGCAUAGCCGACCUGAGAGGUUGAUCGGCCACACUGGAACUGAGACACGGUCCAGACCCCUACGGGAGGCAGCAGUAGGGAAUCUUCCGCAAUGGGCGAAAGCCUGACGGAGCAACGCCGCGUGAGUGAUGAAGGUCUUCGGAUCGUAAAACUCUGUUAUUAGGGAAGAACAUAUGUGUAAGUAACUGUGCACAUCUUGACGGUACCUAAUCAGAAAGCCACGGCUAACUACGUG
rnacentral:rRNA from 1 species